rnacentral:rRNA from 1 species
AAGUCGAACGAACUGUAGAAAUACGGUUAGUGGCGGACGGGUGAGUAACGCGUGAGCAAUCUGCCCUUGUCAGGGGAAUAACACAAAGAAAUUUGUGCUAAUACCGCAUAAUAUCAGAGAACGGCAUCGUUCACUGAUCAAAGAUUUAUCGGACAAGGAUGAGCUCGCGUCCCAUUAGGUAGUUGGUGAGGUAACGGCCCACCAAGCCGACGAUGGGUAGCCGACCUGAGAGGGUGAUCGGCCACAUUGGAACUGAGAAACGGUCCAGACUCC